GACGAACGCUGGCGGCGUGCCUAAUACAUGCAAGUCGAGCGCAGGAAACUGACGGAACUCUUCGGAGGGAAGGCAGUGGAAUGAGCGGCGGACGGGUGAGUAACACGUAAGGAACCUGCCUCAAGGAUUGGGAUAACUCCGAGUAAUCGGAGCUAAUACCGGAUAGUUCAACGGACCGCAUGGUCCGCUGAUGAAAGGCGCUCCGGCGUAACCUUGAGAUGGCCUUGCGGUGCAUUAGCUAGUUGGUGGGGUAACGGCCCACCAAGGCGACGAGGCAUAGCGGACCUGAGGGUGUGAUCGGCCACACUGGGACUGAGACGCGGCCAGACUCCUACGGGAGGCAGCAGUAGGGAAUCUUCCACAAUGGACGAAAGUCUGAUGGAGCAACGCCGCGUGAGUGAUGAAGGUUUUCGGAUCGUAAAACUCUGUUGUAAGGGAAGAACACGUACGAGAGGAAAUGCUCGUACCUUGACGGUACCUUACGAGAAAGCCACGGCUAACUACGUGCCAGCCGCCGCCGUAAAAC
rnacentral:rRNA from 1 species